GCUUUCCAUGUCAUUGAAUAACACCACUGAUGUCCCUGCGGGGAGGUGCCCAAAAACUGGUAUCUCACAGGGCGCAUUGCAAAUACCUUGGCUGAACAGCCACUGCAGAGCGAGUGAUGCUGUAAGUCUUAUAGACAGCAUGACCACUGGUGGCACCUCUCCAGCAGAGAUUUGCUGGUCUGACAAAUUUCAUACUUACACCAAGCUGUACUCAGAGGGGAUGCUCUGUGCGCAGUAAGUCUCUUAGUGAAACCAUGACUAAUUGCACCAAGAGGUCAAAAGGAAGGUCUUCUGAAGAGCUCUGUUGCAAACCCUGCCUGCAUUCCCAGAGUCAAGCCAGGUUGCUUACAGAUCCAUCACCAGUAACUAAGAAGCUGCAGAUAGAAUUCACACAAUGUGAAGCAAAAAUAAAAAUUAAAGAAAAUUCUUU